rnacentral:tRNA from 1 species
GGCAAGAUGCCCGAGAGGUCUAAGGGGGUUGUCUUAAGUUUCCUUCUGGUGACCACACAACUAAUGUUUCAUUGCGUGGGUUCGAACCCCACUCUUGCCA